CAGGCGCAAAUGAGGAAAUUCUAUUGGUAAAUAGGUAAUGUGCGUCUGAAUGCUUCAUUGAUGUUAACACCUUGGAGACUUGAUGCCCUAA